rnacentral:rRNA from 1 species
GUCAGAGGGGGCAAGCGUUGCUCGGAAUUACUGGGCGUAAAGGGCGCGUAGGCGGGCUGGCAAGUCGGUCGUGAAAUCCCUCGGCUCAACUGAGGAUCGUCGAUCGAUACUGCCGUUCUUGAGGAUUGCAGAGGAGACUGGAAUUCCCGGUGUAGCGGUGAAAUGUGUAGAGAUCGGGAGGAACACCGGUGGCGAAGGCGGGUCUCUGGGCAAUUCCUGACGCUGAGGCGCGAAAGCGUGGGGAGCAAACGGG